CUUUGGCGGGAAGAUUGAAACAAUAUAAGAAUUGAUGUUGUGAUUUUUGAUUCGAUAUUGACAAUUUUCGUUUGAAAUGCUUCCUUCAUCAGCAAGAAAAUCCGCCAGGAAAAAGAAGGCGGCAUUUUCACAUGUUGACAGAGACCACGUUUCAGUAGAACUGCGAAAAUGGGCCCUGGAUGAAAUGUGCUUUCGUCCGCAAGGACGCCAUGUAAACAGUCGCAUACCAAAUGUUGAAGAAUUUAAAACG